GGGCAGAGGAUGUGAAACAUUUAGACUGUUGAUGCCUUUCCGGUCAUUGAUGAUCUAAAAUCGAGCUUUUUAAAACUGAUACCUA
rfam:Triticum aestivum genome assembly, contig: Triticum_aestivum_CS42_TGACv1_scaffold_210509_3AS